rnacentral:lncRNA from 1 species
AGUUGCGUGUGGUAUGCCAGAUUCGAUCAGGUGUGGACAUCGAGGUUACAUGAUCCCAAGCCCAACCCCCCCCCCCUAUCUUCCUUUCUUCCCUUCCCUUUUGAAUUUGGUGCCUGUUGUGGAAGCCCACCAAUGACUUUGUCGGCUCCCAAUGUUGGACACUUCAAUUCACAAACAGAAAAAACAUAAGGAAAAUGUAAAUAAACACACAAACCAAGCAGAAUAAGUAGAGAAAGUGAAGCACAAUGAAACAAGAAAAACAAAAACCAAAAGAAAAAAGAAUCUAUCCAACUUCUUCCACCCUAAGAGCACAGCCCUCCUCCAUCUCAUUAUCCACAUCUGCCAAAGUGAAAAAUAAACAAACAAACAAAUAAAUAAGUAAAUGUAGAACAACAACAGUGAGGGAGCAAGUGAACAAUACAGUGAACAUCUGUCCCCCUUCCCUACCCUUCUCCAAUUGUCAUCAUCCU